rnacentral:rRNA from 1 species
AAGGAAUAUUGCUCAAUGGGAGAAAUCCUGAAGCAGCAACGCCGCGUGGAGGAUGAAGGGUCUAUGACUUGUAAACUCCUGUAAAGAAGGAAAAAAUUCCCAUUAGAUGGGAGAUGAUGGUACUUCUGGAGUAAGCCCCGGCUAACUACGUGCCAGCAGCCGCGGUAAUACGUAGGGGGCAAGCGUUGUCCGGAUUUACUGGGUGUAAAGGGUGCUCAGGCGGAUUUGUAAGUCAGAGGUGAAAUCUUACAGCUUAACUGUGAAACUGCCUUUGAUACUGCAAGCCUAGGGUAUGGAAGAGAGUGAUGGAAUAUCUGGUGUAGCAGUGAAAUGCGUAGAUAUCAGAUAGAACACCAAUGGCGAAGGCAGUCACUUGGUCCAUUACUGACGCUAAAGCACGAAAGCGUGGGUAGCAAACA